rnacentral:tRNA from 1 species
UAGCGCAGUUUGGUAGCGCGCUUGGUUAGGGACCAAGAGGUCGUGGGUUCAAGUCCCGU